GCCGGUGUGGUGGAAUUGGUAGACACAAGGGACUUAAAAUCCCUCGGUAGCGAUACCGUACCGGUUCGAGCCCGGUCACCGGCACCA
rnacentral:tRNA from 1 species